UACGUAGGUGGCAAGCGUUUGUCCGGAAUUAUUGGGCGUAAAGCGCGCGCAGGCGGUCCUUUAAGUCUGAUGUGAAAGCCCACGGCUCAACCGUGGAGGGUCAUUGGAAACUGGGGGACUUGAGUGCAGAAGAGGAAGCGGAAUUCCACGUGUAGCGGUGAAAUGCGUAGAGAUGUGGAGGAACACCAGUGGCGAAGGCGGCUUGCCAGAACGCGCUCGACGGUGGAGGGAUGAAAGCUGGGGGAGCAA
rnacentral:rRNA from 1 species